UGGGUUUUGAUGGUUGCAAACUACAUCGGAAAUUUGAAUUAGAAUGAUGACCAUAUUUUGAGGGAAAGAUUUUUUUUGGAAAAAGGGGGAGGUUAAUACUAAUAAAUUAGGGGGAAUUAAGAUUCCAGAAAAUGGCAAAAAAAGAAGGACAGGUGAGGUUAACAUUUACUUAGGGGUGGGGCAAUUUUUCUCCAAGAUUUGUUAUUUUCUUAAAGAAAAAUUGUGUGUCACAAUUGUUUAUUCUUUGAAUAUCCCCUGAAAACAUAUUUACUAAGUAUUGCGCAACAGCACAAUGUAUAGCACAAAAGCAAAAACUUAAAUAUAAUUUCAAAUCGUAUAACCAAUUUUAAGUUCUCUGACUACAGUUAUUCUGUGUCAGAAACCUAUAAUGU
rnacentral:lncRNA from 1 species